rnacentral:rRNA from 1 species
UGGGGAAUUUUGGACAAUGGGCGCAAGCCUGAUCCAGCCAUGCCGCGUGCGGGAAGGAGGCCUUCGGGUUGUAAACCGCUUUUGUCAGGGAAGAAAUCUUCUGAGUUAAUACCUCGGGAGGAUGACGGUACCUGAAGAAUAAGCACCGGCUAACUACGUGCCAGCAGCCGCGGUAAUACGUAGGGUGCAAGCGUUAAUCGGAAUUACUGGGCGUAAAGCGUGCGCAGGCGGUUUUGUAAGACAGAGGUGAAAUCCCCGGGCUCAACCUGGGAACUGCCUUUGUGACUGCAAGGCUUGAGUGCGGCAGAGGGGGGAUGGAAUUCCGCGUGUAGCAGUGAAAUGCGUAGAUAUGCGGAGGAACACCGAUGGCGAAGGCAAUCCCCUGGGCCUGCACUGACGCUCAUGCACGAAAGCGUGGGGAGCAAACAGGAUUAGAUACCCUGGUAGUCCACGCCCUAAACGAUGUCAACUGGUUGUUGGGAAGGUUCCUUCUCAGUAACGUAGCUAACGCGUGAANUUGACCGCCUGGGGGAGUACGGCCGCA